rnacentral:rRNA from 1 species
UACGGAGGGGGUUAGCGUUGUUCGGAAUUACUGGGCGUAAAGCGCACGUAGGCGGAUCAGAAAGUUGGGGGUGAAAUCCCGGGGCUCAACCCCGGAACUGCCUCCAAAACUCCUGGUCUUGAGUUCGAGAGAGGUGAGUGGAAUUCCGAGUGUAGAGGUGAAAUUCGUAGAUAUUCGGAGGAACACCAGUGGCGAAGGCGGCUCACUGGCUCGAUACUGACGCUGAGGUGACGAAGUGUGGGAGCAAACAGGAUAGACC